rnacentral:rRNA from 1 species
AGCAGCCGCGGUAAUUCCAGCUCCAAUAGCGUAUAUUAAAGUUGUUGCAGUUAAAAAGCUCGUAGUUGAAUUUCGGGAUCAAUAUGUUGGUCGUGCCUUGGUACGUACUGGCAUUAUCGAUUCCUACCUUCUGAAGAACCUCGAUGUCAUUAAUUUGGUGUCUUGGGGAAUCAGGACUGUUACUUUGAAAAAAAUUAGAGUGUUUAAAGCAGGCUCGCGCUUGAAUACAUUAGCAUGGAAUAAUGAAAUAGGACGUUUGAUUCUAUUUUGUUGGUUUCUAGGAUCGACGUAAUGAUUAAUAGGGAUAGUUGGGGGCAUUAGUAUUCAAUUGUCAGAGGUGAAAUUCUUGGAUUUAUUGAAGACUAACUACUGCGAAAGCAUUUGCCAAGGAUGUUUUCAUUAAUCAAGAACGAAAGUUAGGGGAUCGAAGACGAUCAGAUACCGUCGUAG